GGAGGGGAGGCCACUGGCCCUGGAGGACCUGAAGGCUGAGGUCCGGACCCUGCACAUCCUUGUGGACCUGAUGCGAGUCCAGCACCUGCGGGACCUGCAGGACCUGCGGCAGGAGCUGUGCCAGGAGCGGGCUCAGCGCCAGGCGCUGCAGGCGGAGAUCGAGCGAGUGAGGAAGGGGCUGCCCUGUUAGCAUGGGGGGGCUGCGGUGCCCACCCAUGGCACGGGGCAGGUGGGUGGCACGUAGUUCCGUGUGCCCCCCCAGCCUGGUUCUGCACCCAUCGGACACAAAUGCCCACCCCACACCCAGGCACUGCUCCUUGAAGCAUAACAGCCCCUG